rnacentral:piRNA from 1 species
UCCAAGCUACUCACCAUAAAGCAUUUAGAGU